rnacentral:rRNA from 1 species
CACCGCGGUUAUACGAGAGGCCCAAGCUGACAAUUGCCGGCGUAAAGCGUGGUUAAUAACCCCUUAACACUAAAGCCGAACAUCUACAAAGUUGUACAACGCACUCGAAGAUAUGAAGACCAACCACGAAAGUGACUUUACACUCUUUGAACCCACGAAAGCUAGGAAA